CCCCUCGCGGAGCGCGGCGGCCCCCGGCAGCCCCCCCGCGCCCGGAAGUGACGCGCCCCCCGCCCCGGCCGCGCCCCGAAGCUCCGGGAGCAGGCGGGCCCGCGGCUGGGCUCCGGCGUCCGCGCGCUAACCCUAGCCCUUUGUGCUUCCCGCGGGCUCGAGCGCCCGGCUGCUGAGUCCUGGGUUUCUCUCCGCCUUUGGCCGAGUUCGUUCACGUUGACGACCCCUGAGUGCGCGGCCGCGACGGAGCUCCGCGCGGAGGACCGCGUCUGGCCGCCGGGUUCCGUGUGAGAGCAGACGGCAUCCGUUACCUCGGUUGAGGCGUCUCUAGUCUAUCCCUUCAUUUUUUAUUUUAUCCUCACUUUCACGCCAAAGUCUGAAUAUUGCCUGUUCUUUUAAUUUCUGGAAAUAUUCUAACUUUAAAUAGUAACGUGUUCAUUCUAGGAAAUUUUCGGGUUUUUGUUUUUGUAGCAAAAUGAUCCAUACAUUUGACCGGACUUAAUAGCUUUAAAAGAAGACUUUUCGGAUUUCCCUGGUGGUUCACUUUUACCUGAGCUCUGUGGAUUCCUCCCAGAUGGAAGCACCUGUCUGAGCUUGAAGAGUACCUCCCUCGAUUCCCUGGGCCAAACUCGAACUUCACUUGGCCACCACUGAAUUUAGGGUGACCAGUUGAGUAAACAGCUAGAACUGAUGUUUAAACCACCACACUCCAUAAAUUCUGUCCAACCCAGCACUCUCUUCUUUCUUGUUUGGAACCCAACACUGGGAACGCGUGCCUGCAUGAGCUCCCCUCACGUUUGUAGGCAUGAGUUAGUAAGGAACAAGGCCUGCUUGUUCCUUUGGUUGGAAGCACCCUCCUCUAGACAUCGACUUUGUUACUGGCUACUUCAGAUCUGAGAUGGUGGUGGGGAGGGGGAGCAGAAGAAAACCAGCUUCCUUGGUGGGGGGAAUGGCAUGGGAGGGUGGCGCCCAGGUGGGUGUCUAUGGGUCUGCUGAAGCCGGCUAAGUACCUCAGUUCUGAUACAUAGUCUCAUUCUUUCCAGAUUACAUUGUCCCAACCUCCACACAGGCAUUUUGUGGCUAUUUCAACCCUGUGAUUGUAAGAUACAAAUUUUUUAGCAUCUGCAUAGCAAGUCCCAAUUCUUAUGUCUAUAAAGUGGCAACAUUUUAGACACUGUGUUUGCUAUUUGAAAACUUUCAGUGCCAUUAGAAAUUGCUGCUCUGCCUACAAUCCUGAAUUCCUUUUCCCUUUCA
ensembl:lncRNA